CCAAGCAAACUUGGAGCGCGUCCUGAUCCCUCGGCCAUACACCCUCAGAAGCCUCGAUGCUCCACCUACGGCUCCCACGCCGGCACGACUCCCUCCGACAUUCCCUCCACCGCCGGCAUGCUGGACGUUAGCCGGGUCUCCUGGUGGAGGUAGCACAGAGCUACCCUCAUCAUACUCGUGAUCUCCGGUUCUCUCACCCUCUCCUCCCGCCUCGAGUCCGCCAGCUCCACGUACCUCCCCCUCUCGGGCCCCUCCACCACCACCAUUGAAAAAUAAUCACGCCUCCCGAUCACCCCACCGGUCGACUUGCUCGAGCCUUGCCAGCUCUCCUCCAACUGGUUCUUCCUCCCUCUCAUUAUCUCCAACAACACCAUCUCGAAGCUGUCCACAUCUAUCUUAUUUGAGAUCGCUAAGUUGGUCAGCCACUCCGAAGCAAGAACCCUCUUAUCCCCCUCAUCAUGGUGAAGAAUCUGGAUUGCUCCGGACUCAUCAAUUUGGCGAGGCUGAAGUCUAAAAUCUUGACCUGGUUGUAGUUAUGGAGGAGGCUGUUCCCUGACUCUCCAGGUACUAGCUCUCCGCCAUUCACUCAAGAGAGAGGGGCGGCUUGGGCUCCGUUUGCUCUCGAAGUAGAGCGCUUCUUUUAUUUUAUUUUAUUUUCUUUUCUCUUUUUCCCCUCUCCUUAUGCUGAGGUGGUCAGACACAAGACGUGACUGGCGAGAAAUAACUGAUCUGGUGCGCCAAUGAGAGAAAGCCAUUAGAUUUCUAUCAUCCUCUCCUAUCUCAGCACCACCCGGAUGCCGCACGAACGAGUGGUGAUGAGCAAUCCGCCGAUGCACAUAUCAAAGGGAGGGAGGUAUCCAAUCUCCCGAGACCUGAGAGCCAUGGCCUCCACCACCACCACCAGCAGCGCCACUCGUGGCCUCACCUCGCCGGCUCUAGCCGACGGAAAGGCGCCCGCCGCCCGCCAGGAGGCCCCGCACUGUGUCGGCCACCCGACGCUGCCUCCGCCGCCCCACGUCGCGUCCCCGAGCCUCCCCAGAUGGGCCGCUAGUCAUGGAAGACUGCCUCCUACUGUCAAAAAAUUGCAAGAAAUGUUAUUGCGAUGGCCACAGGAGACACACCUGCUGAAGUUGUGACAGAGGUUCCAGAGAUUGUAAAAAGCAUACAAGCUGCGACAGUGGGACAGACUCGAAGACAAGCAUGCAGUGACUUCCCUAGCAUUUGUUGGUGCUAUUGCACUCUGGAGCACCAGCGGAAUGAUCUCAGUAAUUAAAAACAUGAUAUUACCAAUCCCAGCAAUGAUAUAGAUAAGUAGUUGGAAAUUGAUAGGCUUCCUGUAGUUCCUGGUGCUCUUGAGCUUGCAGGAAUCGGUUACACAGGGUGGUUUGCAUAUCGUGACCUGGUUUUCAAGCCUGACAGGGAAGCUUUGAUUGCAAAAAUCAAGAAUAUCUAUUAUGACAUUAUUGGGAGCAGCUAAUUGAGCAUCCACAGAUGAUCAUGUCAUGCCCCAGAAGGUGUUCGGAUGAGGUUGACUCAUUCACUGGAAGAGUUAUUUUUUCCAAGAAUUGGAAAUUUGUAGUUUUUCAUGAUUUUGCUCCAAAAAUAUAUGCCGUAAGCCUCUAACCUUAUUCAAUAUGUCAAAUUAAUCACACUGUCUGACAUUAUGUAUACCUAUCUAUUUAUGAUCUUAUUAAGCAGGCUGCCAUCCUAGUUGUUAGACUCAAGCCAACCACUCCUCUUGGCUGAGCUGAUACAGGACCAGCCUCGCAAAGUGGAAAUUCUUGUUCAAUUUCCUCUGAGGUUUUCUGGGGAAAUUUGAGUAGCUCUACAA